GUUCCAUUAGCUGGUUGGCGGGGUAACGGCCCACCAAGGCAACGAUGGAUAGGGGAACUGAGAGGUUCAUCCCCCACACUGGAACUGAGACACGGUCCAGACUCCUACGGGAGGCAGCAGUGAGGAAUCUUGGUCAAUGGAGGCAACUCUGAACCAGCCACGUCGCGUGAAGGACGAAGGCCUUACGGGUCGUAAACUUCUUUUUCGGGGGAAUAAACGGGGUCACGGGUGGCCCCUUGCAUGUACCCCGCGAACAAGGAUCGGCUAACUCCGUGCCAGCAGCCGCGGUAAUACGGAGGAUCCGAGCGUUAUCCGGAUUUAUUGGGUUUAAAGGGUGCGCAGGCGGGUUGCUAAGUCGGUGGUGAAAUCCCGGGGCUCAACCCCGGGCUUGCCAUCGAAACUGGUUACCUCGAGUGUGGUUGAGGCAGGCGGAAUUCGUGGUGUAGCGGUGAAAUGCAUAGAUAUCACGAGGAACCCCGAUCGCGUAGGCAGCUUGCCAAGCCAUAACUGACGCUCAUGCACGAAGGCGUGGGGAUCAAACAGGAUUAGAUACCCUGGUAGUCCACGCGGUAAACGAUGAUUACUGGCUGUUCGCGAUACACUGCGAGCGGCCCAGCGAAAGCGUUAAGUA
rnacentral:rRNA from 1 species